rnacentral:tRNA from 1 species
UCCCUGGUCAUCCAGUGGUUAGGAUUUAGCACUUUUACUGCUGUGGGCUCAUGUUCAAUCCCUGGUUAGGGAA